GACGAACGCUGGCGGCGUGCCUAAUACAUGCCAGUAGAACGCACAGUUUAUACCGUAGCUUGCUACACCAUAGACUGUGAGUUGCGAACGGGUGAGUAACGCGUAGGUAACCUGCCUGGUAGCGGGGGAUAACUAUUGGAAACGAUAGCUAAUACCGCAUAAUAUUAAUUAUUGCAUGAUAAUUAAUUGAAAGGUGCAAUUGCACCACUACCAGAUGGACCUGCGUUGUAUUAGCUAGUAGGUGAGGUAACGGCUCACCUAGGCGACGAUACAUAGCCGACCUGGGAGGGUGGUCGGCCACACUGGGACUGAGACACGGCCCAGACUCCUACGGGAGGCAGCAGUAGGGAAUCUUCGGCAAUGGACGAAAGGCUGACCGAGCAACGCCGCGGGAGUGGAGAAGGUUUUCGGGUCGUAAAGCUCUGUUGUAAGGGAAGAACGGGUGUGAGAGUGGAAAGUUCACACUGUGACGGUAUCUUAACAGAAAGGGACGGCUAACUACGUG
rnacentral:rRNA from 1 species